AGCAGCCGCGGUAAUUCCAGCUCCAAUAGUGUAUAUUAAAGUUGUUGCAGUUAAAAAGCUCGUAGUUGAAUUUCGGGAUUCUAUCGUUGGUCGGGCUAUUGUCUGUACUGGCGUGUAGAAUUUCUACCUUCUGGGGAACUAUCAUGUUAUUAAUUUAGCGUGGUAGGAAACCAGGACCUUUACCUUGAAAAAUUAGAGUGUUCAAAGCAGGCUUAUGUCUGAAUACAUUAGCAUGGAAUAAUAAAAUAGGACGGUGGUCCUGUUUUGUUGGUUUCUGAAUCACCGUAAUGAUUAAUAGGGAUAGUUGGGGGCAUUAGUAUUCAAUUGUCAGAGGUGAAAUUCUUGGAUUUAUUGAAGACUAACUACUGCGAAAGCAUUUGCCAAGGAUGUUUUCAUUAAUCAAGAACGAAAGUUAGGGGAUCGAAGACGAUCAGAUACCGUCGUAGUCUUAACCAUAAACUAUGCCGACUAGGGAUCGGACGAUGUUAACUUUUCUUGA
rnacentral:rRNA from 1 species